ACGUAACGAGGGUACUAUAUUUGUAAAUCUUUAAACCUCUUUCAAGCUUUAUAUAAAAACUCAUCAUCUCUUUGGUAAAAAGUAGCGAUUUCAUUUUUUAAUUU